rnacentral:rRNA from 1 species
GUAAGGAAUAUUGGUCAAUGGACGAAAGUCUGAACCAGCCAUGCCGCGUGGAGGAUGAAGGUCCUCUGGAUUGUAAACUUCUUUUAUAUGGGACGAAAAAAGGCUUUUCUAAGUCGUCUGACGGUACCAUAUGAAUAAGCACCGGCUAACUCCGUGCCAGCAGCCGCGGUAAUACGGAGGGUGCAAGCGUUAUCCGGAUUCACUGGGUUUAAAGGGUGCGUAGGUGGAUUGCCAAGUCCGUGGUGAAAUCUUCGAGCUUAACUCGGAAACUGCCAUGGAUACUGGUGAUCUUGAAUAUCGUGGAGGUUAGCGGAAUAUGUCAUGUAGCGGUGAAAUGCUUAGAUAUGGCACAGAACACCAAUUGCGAAGGCAGCUCACUAAGGCGAUACUGACGCUGAGGCACGAAAGCGUGGGGAUCGAACAGGAUUAGAAACCCGAGUAGUCC